rnacentral:rRNA from 1 species
UACGUAAGGACCGAGCGUUGUCCGGAAUCAUUGGGCGUAAAGGGUCCGUAGGCGGGUUUUUAAGUUAGAAGUCAAAGGCUAUAGCUCAACUAUAAUAAGCUUCUAAAACUGGAAACCUUGAGUAAUGGAAGGGAAAGUGGAAUUCCUAGUGUAGCGGUGAAAUGCACAGAUAUUAGGAGGAAUACCAGUGGCGAAGGCGACUUUCUGGCAAUCAUCAGACGCUGAGGUACGAAAGCGUGGGUAGCAAACAGG